UAUCUGAAGCUAUGCCACUUGAGAUACGAAAUGUCAACGUUAAAAGGGAAAAGUGUUGAGGCGCUCGGCAGUGCGCGGGAGUGUGGCAUCGUCAACACACGAUGGCUUGGUCUCAUUUUAUCGUCCUCGUGGCAGUCACUUGUGCGAGCCAAGCACACUACACCAAAUUCCCUGAAGGAUUCACAUUUGGUGUCGCAACAGCAGCCCAUCAAAUCGAGGGAGCAUGGAACGUCAGCGGAAAAUCUGAAAAUGUCUGGGACCAUUUAACCCAUACCAAACCAUGGAUGGUAGCUGACGGCACUAACGGUGAUGUAGCUUGCGACUCCUACAACCGAUAUCUAGAAGAUGUUGAGGAACUGGCUUACCUUGGCGUAGACUUCUACCGAUUCUCAUUCUCUUGGGCAAGAUUGUUGCCUACGGGUCGCGUCGACCAAAUCAAUCCUGAGGGUGUUCAAUAUUACCACAAUCUUCUCGAUGCUCUUGCUGAAAAGAAUAUAGAGCCUUUGGUAACGCUGUUCCACUGGGAUUUACCUCAAACCCUUCAGGACUUAGGUGGUUUCGCCAAUCCUAAAAUGAUUCAAUACUUCAGUGAGUACGCCGAUUUCUGCUUCCGAGAGUACGGAGACAAAAUCAAGUCCUGGAUAACCUUCAAUGAGCCUUACGAAAUUUGUGAAGAUGCGUACGGUGAUAUCAAGAAAGCACCAGCUAUUGACAGUCACGGUGUUGGGAACUACUUGUGUAGUGAUAAUCUAUUGAAGUCCCAUGCUGAGGCAUACCAUUUAUACAACGAGAGUUACAGGCCAAAACAAAAUGGUAGAAUCAUGAUCUCCAUUAACUCUAUCUGGUAUGAACCUGCAGAUCCGAAUGACCCAGAACAAGUGGCGUUAGCUGAAGUAGCCAAUCAAUUUAAGUUCGGUUGGUUCGCACACCCUAUCUUCACAGAAGAGGGCGGUUAUCCACCAGUGAUGAUUGAAAACGUCGCUCAAAACAGUCAAGCCGAGGGUUUGCCCAAGUCCAGACUAGAACAGUUCGACGAUUACUGGAUUGAAAGGAUUAAGGGUACAUCAGACUUCCUCGGUAUUAACCACUACACUACCCAUCUAAUUACGGGCCCAGGAGUUGACCCUAUCGCAAAAUCGCCAUCCUGGUUGAAAGACAUCGGAGCGGUUACGUCUUUAGAAGUCGGCGAAGCUACUGCAUCCGAGUGGUUCCGAGUGGUACCUACAGGGUUCGCUAACCUGCUACGUUGGUGUAAGAGCAGCUACAAUGACCCACCAAUCUACAUCACAGAAAAUGGCUACUCAGACCGCGGGACUUUGGAAGACUACGACCGCAUCAAAUACUUUAACGACCACCUGGGAGCUAUACUGAAUGUGAUUAACGAUGAUGGUGUGAGAGUGCUUGGAUACACCGCGUGGACUCUAAUGGAUAACUUCGAAUGGAGAGCUGGAUUCUCAGAGCGUUUUGGCUUCUACCACGUAGACAUCACGGACCCAGCUCGGCCAAGAACAGCUAAGCUAUCCGCUGAGUACUACAAGAAAUUGAUCGCAAACCGCGAGUUACCGCAGGACGCACAGUUCAAGAAACCUUCGGAGAGACGGCGGUACUAAAUUAUUAACAAAGGUGAAACAGGAAAUCUGCUUUUUCUAAGAAACUAACUAGCAACGCAUAAAAAUGGAUCUCUGAAGAAAUAAAAAUAACAAUAGAUAUUUAAACAAAUAUUUAAUUCAUAUACCAAAUUAUAUACAAUGAAAUCGGAGAAAAAAAUUUCAUUGUUAUAACAUUGACUCAUGUAAUGUACACUACAGUGAAAACUUGCAUGUCAGACUGAAAGAUAUGUAUGUAUUAAGGCUAUACUUAGAAAUAUUUACUUGAUAUAUUGUUCGGAAAAUUAUUCAAGCCAGAAGCACCGAACUGACGCGAUGGUAAGCAACAUGGAAUGUUUUGUAGUAGCGACUACCUAGUAGGUCUAUGUAUUGUGUAUAAUUAUAUUUUGAUUGAGUAUUAAAGGCGCUAACAAAAAAAACUAUUUUACUAUAUUAUAUGUAUGUUUACGAUAUCUAGUAUCAUUCACUACAUAAUCGUAAACUUGUAUUUUUGCAGUUUAGGUACAAUUUUUAAAACAAUUAUCUGAAUUGGUUGUUAUUACUUCGAAAAGACAGAUGUAAACAUUUUAAUAAAACCUACUAAGCUAUCGCUAUUGGCUACACAUUGCAGUGUAAUGAAUUAUUUCUUAAAAAUUAAGCGAAUACAAAGCUAUUAACAUUGAAAGACUUAGUCAUCUCAGCUAAAAUCUAAGUUAAGGAAACAUGCAAUACAGAAUAAUAAACUGAACAAUAUGAAAAGCGUAACUUAACAAGAAAUUAUAUACGACAAAUACAACAAGACAUCUACAGAUUACAAAAUAAAAUGUAUAAUAAACCCAGCACCGUUACAACUAAUUAUAAUAGUUACACAGUUGCUAUUUAAACUAUUUAUAAAUGAUUACAUUAGUCUUACAAAGAAAGUACAUUUACUAAUAUGGCAAAGUUUUCAAUGUAGCAUUCGAAAAAUAAAGACCUAAUUUUAUUAUUGAAUUUAUACAAACUCUAUACUAGGUGGGCUAAACGUAAUUUUGAAGUUAAGCCUAAACCAAAUGAAUUGUAAAUACGUUGGGUAUGACGAACAGAGUUGUUUGGUGAAUACAAAAUCAUGUGGUAAAGCAUACAGCAGGGCAUUUCAAUCAUACAAACAUGUACACGUAUAUUUACCACCAUCGAUGCACGGUUUUGUCGAAAUCUCAUAUUUUGUUAAUAUUUCUAGCAGCACCCGCACACACAAACGUUUAGAUACAUAUACAUUGUCCACUUCGAACCAAAUAUUAUCUAUAAACUUAAUAGUUGCCAAAAGAACUAAGUUACGAUUAAUUAAGUCUACAUCUAACAUAAUCUCGAAAAAUACACAAGGACGGUGUAAGUAGACAAAAAAACGUUACUACAACACAUACAUAAGUAGUUUAAUUAUGUCCAAAUAAUACAUUAAUCGAUGAACAUCGAUCGGUAAAAAUUUGUAGAAAUAUAUCUUUAUAACUAUUACCUAAAUAACACAAUAAAUACAUUUUAAAAGGCACAAUAAGGCACUGUUACGUCGAGAUGGUAUCACAAUCGAUGGCGCACUCUAAAACGUGUUUCAAAUGUAAUUUCAAUUUGUCCAUUAUUUUUGUUAAUGAAAAUAUUCUUGACCGGUCAUUUAGAAAUAACUUGAGAAACGUUUUUGAAUACGGGCCAUAAUUUCGUUAAUGAAAUUUAUUCUGUUAUCUUCGACAUCUUAACAAUAGUCUAUUCUAUUUGAA